UACAGAGGGGGCAAGCGUUAUUCGGAAUUAUUGGGCGUAAAGGGCGCGUAGGCGGCCUGGCAAGUGGCAGGUGAAGUCCCUCGGCUUAACCGAGGAACUGCCCUCCAAACUGCUUGGCUUGAGUCCGGGAGAGGUGAGUGGAAUUCCCAGUGUAGCGGUGAAAUGCGUAGAUAUUGGGAGGAACACCAGUGGCGAAGGCGGCUCACUGGACCGGAACUGACGCUGAGGCGCGAAAGCGUGGGGAGCAAACGGG
rnacentral:rRNA from 1 species